rnacentral:lncRNA from 1 species
AUAAUGUCUUACCACGCCUCUUUCUCUCUUGUGAGCAUUCUGGUGGCCUCCCAACGCCUGUGAACUGUAGAAUUUCCGCUUGCAGAAGUUACAUGAAAAAGCCUUGGCAGAAGUAGGUAUACGUGACUCAGAUUCUUUAGAUGUUAAAGGCAAGUUCCUUCCUAAGCUCAAAUUCAACCAUUCUCCUUGAUCAAGCACUGAAUUUCCCUGAUUGCUAUCUACAGCACUAAUCAUUCUGAUCGCUAUUGUAAUUGAGCAGAAGCUGCCUUUUCUUGUCCCCCAAUUUUCAAUGAAGAGCCAGCUUAAAAUUUUGUGGAUGUACAAAGCUGCUUUAUGUGGAUACUACUCGAAAGGACUCUUAAAGGACCUCCAGACAGAGAGGCAAGGAAUAAAAAUGAGAUCAGAGGAGGUGAAGGUGAGAUCAUAAAACUGUGAUUUAUCAUAUCUAUUUUCACUGUCCGCUCCAGCUGAUGCUUGGUAUUCUGGGGGACAAUGCUUAGAUCAUGUUUCACUGGAGUCAUUGUCAAGUCUAGAUUCCCCACUGAUUUCUCUCUUGUCUGUUCAACUAGUUCUACCUCUAAUUAGGU